rnacentral:lncRNA from 1 species
AUGGUCAGUCCCAUUUCACAGAUGACUAAGUUCAGGCUCACAGAGUCUAGGUCACCUCUCCAGGUCCUCACUCCACAACUCCUCUGGGUGAUAAGGAAGACAGAAGAGGUGAAAUCCUGCACUUUGUGCCAUGAGAUCUGUGUGUAGGGCCACAUGAGUUGGCUAAUCCUUGAAGUGGUGAGUGGGCUCAGGCAGAAGCUCAGGUAUUGGCCUUCGGACAGGUAAGCUGGAGAGAAGGAAAGUAACAUGCACUGAACUACUGUAAGCAAAUGCAAUUUAUAGCUCAUCUCCUUUAAUCCUAACAACCAUUUAAAAUACUCAUCAUUCUGACCAUUAUUCAGAUCAGUGUGCUGUCUUUAGGGGAGUUUAUGUAAGUCAGGGAAACAACCUAGUUGUCCUGUGAUCAUUAGCUAACUCUGGAAUACUCCAAAGUUGUAUCAUUUUCUCUUGAUAUCUCCAGGGCUCUGAAUAUUGUAAUCUCCCUGCAGGCUGAUAGCGUCUUCUCCUCAUGGUGUUGUUCAACAUUUUUUCUUUUUAAAUUAUGACCUGUAUGUUUUUUGUCACAUUAUUGACAUUUAAAACACUUUCUCAAUAAAAAUAAAGCUAAGCAUUUUUUAACAUAAGAGAGAAAACAUUUGCAAACUACACCUCAGAUACUGGGUUAGUAUCUAUGAUUUGUGAACCACAUUCUGUAACAAAAUGACUGGCAACUAUUUUCAACAGAACAUUCUCAUUAAAAUAUACAUGAACAAUAAACAUGUUAAAAUUUGUCAAAACUGAAAGUACUAAUAAGAUGCAAAUAUAAAUCUUCAAAAGAAUAUUAUGUGGAAGAAACAAGUUGCAAAAAAAAUUAGUACUGUGAUUCACUUUUGGAACAGAUUGUGUGUGAGUGAACAUGUUUGUGUGUACCUCACCUACAGGGACACAUCUGGAGAGUAUGCACCAUUCUGUUGACAACAGACCCUUUGGGUCAGAGGGUAGAUGCAGAGUCAUUUCAAUUUAUAAAUAUACUUUUAUAUAUUGUUUGAAAUUUUGUAUUUAGGGAAAAAAGCAUUUCAAUAAAUACUUUUGAAUAGAUUGGGAAAAGUAAUUGUAAUGUAUUUCAUUAAUUUGAAAGUACAUUCGUUGUAUUCAAUUUUAUA